CCGGCGACCGGCGCACGGGUGAGUAACACGUAUGCAACCUGCCCGUGGCAGGGGGAUAAGCGGGGGAAACCCGUCUAAUACCGCGUAACGCGGCCUUGGGGCAUCCCAAGGCCGCCAAAGGGAGCAAUCCCGGCCAACGGAUGAGCAUGCGGCGCAUUAGCUAGUCGGCGGGGUAACGGCCCACCGAGGCGACGAUGCGUAGGGGUUCUGAGAGGAAGGCCCCCACACUGGUACUGAGACACGGACCAGACUCCUACGGAAGGCAGCAG
rnacentral:rRNA from 1 species